GACGAACGCUGGCGGCGUGCCUAAUACAUGCCAGUUGAGCGCUGAAGGUUGGUACUUGUACCAACUGGAUGAGCAGCGAACGGGUGAGUAACGCGUGGGGAAUCUGCCUUUGAGCGGGGGACAACAUUUGGAAACGAAUGCUAAUACCGCAUAAAAACUUUAAACACAAGUUUUAAGUUUGAAAGAUGCAAUUGCAUCACUCAAAGAUGAUCCCGCGUUGUAUUAGCUAGUUGGUGAGGUAAAGGCUCACCAAGGCGAUGAUACGUAGCCGACCUGAGAGGGUGAUCGGCCACAUUGGGACUGAGACACGGCCCAAACUCCUACGGGAGGCAGCAGUAGGGAAUCUUCGGCAAUGGACGAAAGUCUGACCGAGCAACGCCGCGUGAGUGAAGAAGGUUUUCGGAUCGUAAAACUCUGUUGGUAGAGAAGAACGUUGGUGAGAGUGGAAAGCUCAUCAAGUGACGGUAACUACCCAGAAAGGGACGGCUAACUACGUG
rnacentral:rRNA from 1 species